UGGCCUUUAAUUGGGGCCUAGAAUGAAUGAAUAAAAUGGGUAAAAACUGUCUUGACUAUAUUAAUUAAAAAUUUCUAAAAAGGUGAAAAUUCCUUUAAAAAUUUAAUAGACGAGAAGACCCUAGGAGUUUAGAAACUUUUAAUUAUUUUAAAAAUCUAAUUUUGUUGGGGCGACAAUUUAACAGAAAACUUAAAGUCUNANAAAUUUUAUUAAACGAAAUUUUUAAUAAAAAAUAAACUACCCUAGGGAUAACAGCAUANUUUUUAAUAAGUU
rnacentral:rRNA from 1 species